UACCACAAUCACUCCAUUAGCUAAUUACAUAAUCACGUUGAGUUAAACUUAUUAGCAAAAAUUGUGAAUUUUGAGUAAUGUUUAACAAACUAGGGAUAUCUUGGGAUAAGGUGUGAAUUGGACAUUAAGAUAAGCCACAUAAAAUUAAUUAGAAUCAAGACACACACACACACACACACACACACACACACACACACACACACACACACACACAUACCUUACACAGAUAAAAAUUUCCAGAGAAUAAUGAUCGAAUUAUGCCCGAUUUCUUCACUUCCCAAUAAAGUUAUCGGAGGAUAAAUAUCAAGUUUAAUCAAUCAUGUGCAUGGAUCUGAUAGUUUAUCUCCUGGAUAAUUUUAACUGCAAGAUAACUUGGACGUGAAGAAAUCGGGCAUUAGUGUAUCAAAAAGUAACAAAUGGAUAUUUACAUCAAAUAGAAAUUUGAUUAUGAUUCAAUGAGAAUGAAAUCAUCAGGAUGUCAAAAAAUGAACAAAAAAUAAAUAUCUAUUAUUUUUUAAAUGGAUAAUUCAUUUUUUGAACAUGAUUUUAUUCCUAUUAAAACAGUCGAAUUUUAGUGUGAUUUAAAUAUAUAAAGUAAAUAUUUAUUACUUUUUGGAAGGACAAUUUAAUCGAACAGUUUUCAGUAGAGCCUUUCUCCUUUCUUCCUUGAUAAGUAAAAUAAAUUAAUAUUUAUGGAAUUCAAAAUUGCAAUUCAAAAUUUGCUAAAUGAAUUUAAAAUAAAAUUUGACAUUACUCCAUAAUAUAUAAAUUUUAUCGAAAAAUUCCUGUCCGUUUUAUACGAUAAUAAAAUGAUGCAUCGGAGAAAUCCAUUUAUAAUAUAAUAGAAAAAAGAGGUUGGCAUAAAAGUAAGCGAUAAAAUAAGAAUAUCUCUCUGAUGUCAGAUUCUGAACUCAGUAUCGACUUCAUAAUAUAAGACCGUUACUUUUUGCGUAAACUUGUAAAGAUUGAAACGACGGCGAUGGCUUCUUGGAGACACCGAGUAUAAUAAACAAAAACAUGCAACAUCUCGACGGUGUGUUAGGUGUGCACGUUGCUUGUAUGUAUACUGUCCGGCGACGUCGACGUCGAGCGUGUCGAGUGUUGUUGCCGUUGUCCGCAGUCGUCUGACAAUUGGCUUGUUCUUUUUCGCUGCACUGCUGCAUUUUUUUUUUUUUUUUAUGUGGUUUUAAUGUGCCAGAUCUAAGAUAGAUAUAUGGCACGUAUGCUUCUUAUCUAUGCGGGAUGACUCCCGCCCUUCUCUAUAUGAUUCUUCCAGUAGACUUUAUGAACUGAUAUAUUACUUUGAGUGUGCUUAAUUCUUCUUUUGCACUGCUGCAUUGGUGCAACAGAGGUUAGAGGAAGACAAAUAUAUUUUUUCUCAUUCUAACUUAUUGCACCAGUGUAGCAGUGCAUAGAAAAAGAACAUGCCACGGGUAUCGUUUCGUAGCGAUCGAUAAUUGGGUCGAUAAAUAUGUCCGCUACCGGCUGAUGGCACCAUGUGGCACUAUAUACCUUUUUAUGUUUCCCUUAUCCCGCGAGAGGUGCCUAGGAACAAAUCAUUGUCGGGCACUCGGGCAGCGUAUGAUACGUCCGCGAGAGAAUAAUGGUGAUGAUAAAUGCGUGGUAUAUUUAUGCUGACAUAAUCAUAAAGGAUAAUCGUUGGAUGGCAAACUGUAGUGCUGUAGUCAACAGUCGAAGUCACAAUUGACGAAUGUCCUUAUUCACGCAAACGAGAAAUGAGACUGCAUGAUAUGUGAUGAGAAAAGAUCGAGACUGAGGGAACGUGUGAAAAUAAUCAUGCGUCGUGAACAAUCGUGAACACAGAUUCACACAGAAUUAACGUAUAUACGAGGGGGGAGGGGGAGGGUAGGCAUAUAACGAGAUCACGAAAUGAUGGGGUAUGGGGUUCAGCGUGGCUCAAUCGCUUCGAUCCGUUCGAUAUGCAUCGACAUGCCGUCCCCUCGACUACAUAUUUCGUCUGGUCAUCGCGUCGCAACGUUCUCUAGUCGCAACUGUCUCUUCGUGACCGUGACUCAGUGACUGUCGCUUUAUCCACCGGAGAUGCAUCGCAGGCACUCAUCACCCUUGCCAACACUGGUGCAGAAUAGGAUGGAUGUAUGUAUAAUUGGCUGCAGUGCAGUAUCGUAAUCGCAAGACAAGGAAACGAAAAGAGGCAGAGAACCGCGAGGAGGGUGAACUAGUGAAGUUGCGAUUUAAAGGGUGACGGAAGAUGCAUUCGUCGCGACAGGGAAAGAGAGGACGAGUUAGCCGCGAUGCAGCACGCGCAGACGUCCUCGGCACGUUCCGGUAAAACGUUUCCUUUGUUCACCCUGAAUUCUCGUGUGACCUGAGACAUCACCUGCCUGAAUCCUGUCACCGGCGCGCGGCGCGGGCGAUAUUUAUUAUCUUACCUCGGUAAUAUGAUCUGUAAGUAUUGGACAAUAACUUUCGUUUCAUUCUACAUAAAUACAAUAGUUACAUGGUAGAGAUAAUCAUCUCUGUGAGAAGCGAUUGAGUUAUAAACAAAUGAAAUUCAUAUAUACAUAUAUAUUACACACACACACACACACACACACACACACACACACACACACACACACACACACACACACACACAAAAUGUUGGGAACAAUUGAAGAAUUUGGUAGGACAAUUUCUCUCUCAUAUUUAAUAUCUUUUUUUAUUUGUAAAAUUAAUUAUCGUAAAUUUUCGAAGAAAAACAAGAGCAAAAAGCUACUUUCAAAUUUUCUGUAAUUAAACUGCGAAUUAUGACAAUAUCUAUUAUCGAAAAAAAGUCAGUAAAGAAUAAUAACAACUAAUAAUGAAUAGUAAUGAACAUUAUGCUAUUUUCAGUAUGUAAACUUUAUUUGCAAAUAUAUUGAAGUAAUUUUGACACUAUUCAAUCUGAAAUUAUUUAUGUGCAUAAGGGAGCAGCUGUAGAAUAUUAUUAUAUAAUAUUUAUUCUUGAUAGUUUCGAAAAACUUUCAUCAUAUGGUAGAACUAAAAAUGAAAAAUUACAAUCACAAAGAAAUACGAGGAAGCACGAAAGAUAUAUCCGGUUGACACUGUGAAGAGAGUUAUGAACAAAUGAAAAAUUGCUUCAAUUUAGAGCUCAGCCUUGACUGCGAUUGUCGAGAUAUAUUUGCGUACAAAAAUAUCUUUUAUAUUUUUACGCGUUUGCGUGCGUAAUGGGUUACGCAUGCAACAAGCAUAGUUAAUGAAGCUAUGAUAAAGCCAUGAUGGAUAACAUAAAAAUUUCGAGAAUAAUACGAAAAUGAUUGAUACUCGUUAUUGAAUAGGGAAUGGAUAAAUCACGCAUGACGAUGAUGGCGACAAAAUGUCAAUCAAGGUCAAAGGUCGUUAUAGGUAGUUUGAGCAUAAAGUUUUAGAUAUUUCU